ACUCCGGUUGAUCCUGCCGGACCCGACCGCUAUCGGGGUAGGGCUAAGCCAUGGGAGUCGAACGCCCCGCCGCUGCGGGGCGUGGCGGACGGCUGAGUAACACGUGGCUAACCUACCCUCGGGACGGGGAUAACCCCUCGGGAAACUGGGGCUAAUCCCCGAUAGGCGGGGGGUGCCUGGAAGGGUCCUCCGCCGAAAGGGGCCGCGGGGGGUUAUCGCCCGCGGUCCGCCCGAGGAUGGGGCUGCGGCCCAUCACGGUAGUUGGCGGGGUAAUGGCCCGCCAAGCCUACGACGGGUAGGGGCCGUGAGAGCGGGAGCCCCCAGAUGGGCACUGAGACAAGGGCCCAGGCCCUACGGGGCGCACCAGGCGCGAAAACUCCGCAAUGCGGGCAACCGUGACGGGGCUACCCCGAGUGCCCCCCUUGGGGGGGCUUUUCCCCGCUGUAAGUAGGCGGGGGAAUAAGCGGGGGGCAAGACUGGUGUCAGCCGCCGCGGUAAUACCAGCCCCGCGAGCGGUCGGGGUGCUUACUGGGCCUAAAGCGCCCGUAGCCGGCUCGACAAGUCCCCGCCUAAAGCCCCGGGCUCAACCCGGGGAGUGGCGGGGAUACUGUCGGGCUAGGGGGCGGGAGAGGCCGAGGGUACUCCCGGGGUAGGGGCGAAAUCCAUUAAUCCCGGGAGGACCACCAGUGGCGAAGGCGCUCGGCUGGAACGCGCCCGACGGUGAGGGGCGAAAGCCGGGGGAGCGAACCGGAUUAGAUACCCGGGUAGUCCCGGCUGUAAACGAUGCGGGCUAGGUGUUGGGCGGGCGUGCGAGCCCGCCCAGUGCCGCAGGGAAGCCGUUAAGCCCGCCGCCUGGGGAGUACGGCCGCAAGGCUGAAAGGUCCGCGGGAGGGUUCCUGACGUGGUUAAGUAGAAUUGUUACCCUCCCCGGGCCCAGCAAACUUAAAGGAAUUGGCGGGGGAGCACCACAAGGGGUGGAGCCUGCGGCUUAAUUGGAGUCAACGCCGGGAACCUCCACCGGGGGCGACAGCAGGAUGACGGCCAGGCUGAAGGCCUUGCCCGACGCGCUGAGGGGAGGUGCAUGGCCGUCGCCAGACCAGCUGUAGGCGCCCGCACGGUACGCUGAAUAUAGUGUAAAUUAGAAGUACCUUAGGAGAAGACCUUAAGAUCUCUUCACUUUAAUAAACGCGCCGUGCGGGCGCCUGUGCUGGGGCGAACUCGUGCCGUGAGGUGUCCUGUUAAGUCAGGCAACGAGCGAGACCCCCGCCCCUAGUUGCCAUCCCCGGGGCGACCCGGGGGGCACACUAGGGGGACUGCCGCCGCUAAGGCGGAGGAAGGAGGGGGCAACGGCAGGUCAGCAUGCCCCUAAACCCCCGGGCUGCACGCGGGCUACAAUGGCGGGGACAGCGGGUGCCGACCCCGAAAGGGGGAGGCAAUCCCUCAAACCCCGCCUCAGUUGGGAUCGAGGGCUGCAACUCGCCCUCGUGAACGUGGAAUCCCUAGUAACCGCGCGUCAUCAUCGCGCGGUGAAUACGUCCCUGCUCCUUGCACACACUGCCCGUCGCUCCACCCGAGGGGGGAGGGGGUGAGGCCCUCUCCGCCGGGAGGGGGUCGAACCCCCUCCCCCCGAGGGGGGAGAAGUCGUAACAAGGUAGCCGUAGGGGAACCUGCGGCUGGAUCACCUCCC
rfam:Aeropyrum pernix genes for 16S rRNA, 23S rRNA and ITS region, complete sequence, strain:TB8.